CCCCCAGUAGCGGCGAGCGAACGGGGAGCAGCCCAGAGUCUGAAUCAGCUUGUGUGUUAGUGGAACGGUCUGGAAAGUCCGACGGUACAGGGUGAUAGUCCCGUACACCAAAAUGCACAGGUUGUGAACUCGAAGAGUAGGGCGGGACACGUGGUAUCCUGUCUGAAUAUGGGGGGACCAUCCUCCAAGGCUAAAUACUCCUGACUGACCGAUAGUGAACCAGUACCGUGAGGGAAAGGCGAAAAGAACCCCGGCGAGGGGAGUGAAAAAGAACCUGAAACCGUGUACGUACAAGCAGUGGGAGCACCUUCGGGUGUGACUGCGUACCUUUUGUAUAAUGGGUCAGCGACUUAUAUUCUGUAGCAAGGUUAACCGUAUAGGGGAGCCGCAGGGAAACCGAGUCUUAACUGGGCGUUAAGUUGCAGGGUAUAGACCCGAAACCCGGUGAUCUAGCCAUGGGCAGGUUGAAGGUUGGGUAACACUAACUGGAGGACCGAACCGACUAAUGUUGAAAAAUUAGCGGAUGACUUGUGGCUGGGGGUGAAAGGCCAAUCAAACCGGGAGAUAGCUGGUUCUCCCCGAAAGCUAUUUAGGUAGCGCCUCGUGAACUCAUCUUCGGGGGUAGAGCACUGUUUCGGCUAGGGGGUCAUCCCGACUUACCAACCCGAUGCAAACUACGAAUACCGAAGAAUGUUAUCACGGGAGACACACGGCGGGUGCUAACGUCCGUCGUGAAGAGGGAAACAACCCAGACCGCCAGCUAAGGUCCCAAAGUCAUGGUUAAGUGGGAAACGAUGUGGGAAGGCACAGACAGCCAGGAUGUUGGCUUAGAAGCAGCCAUCAUUUAAAGAAAGCGUAAUAGCUCACUGGUCGAGUCGGCCUGCGCGGAAGAUGUAACGGGGCUAAACCAUGCACCGAAGCUGCGGCAGCGACACUAUGUGUUGUUGGGUAGGGGAGCGUUCUGUAAGCCUGCGAAGGUGUGCUGUGAGGCAUGCUGGAGGUAUCAGAAGUGCGAAUGCUGACAUAAGUAACGAUAAAGCGGGUGAAAAGCCCGCUCGCCGGAAGACCAAGGGUUCCUGUCCAACGUUAAUCGGGGCAGGGUGAGUCGACCCCUAAGGCGAGGCCGAAAGGCGUAGUCGAUGGGAAACAGGUUAAUAUUCCUGUACUUGGUGUUACUGCGAAGGGGGGACGGAGAAGGCUAUGUUAGCCGGGCGACGGUUGUCCCGGUUUAAGCAUGUAGGCUGAUUGUCCAGGCAAAUCCGGAUAAUCAAGGCUGAGGUGUGAUGACGAGGCACUACGGUGCUGAAGUAACAAAUGCCCUGCUUCCAGGAAAAGCCUCUAAGCAUCAGGUAACAUUAAAUCGUACCCCAAACCGACACAGGUGGUCAGGUAGAGAAUACCAAGGCGCUUGAGAGAACUCGGGUGAAGGAACUAGGCAAAAUGGUGCCGUAACUUCGGGAGAAGGCACGCUGGUGUGUAGGUGAAGUCCCUGCGGAUGGAGCUGAGACCAGUCGAAGAUACCAGCUGGCUGCAACUGUUUAUUAAAAACACAGCACUGUGCAAACACGAAAGUGGACGUAUACGGUGUGACGCCUGCCCGGUGCCGGAAGGUUAAUUGAUGGGGUUAUCCGUAAGGAGAAGCUCUUGAUCGAAGCCCCGGUAAACGGCGGCCGUAACUAUAACGGUCCUAAGGUAGCGAAAUUCCUUGUCGGGUAAGUUCCGACCUGCACGAAUGGCGUAAUGAUGGCCAGGCUGUCUCCACCCGAGACUCAGUGAAAUUGAACUCGCUGUGAAGAUGCAGUGUACCCGCGGCAAGACGGAAAGACCCCGUGAACCUUUACUAUAGCUUGACACUGAACAUUGAGCCUUGAUGUGUAGGAUAGGUGGGAGGCUUUGAAGCGUGGACGCCAGUCUGCGUGGAGCCAACCUUGAAAUACCACCCUUUAAUGUUUGAUGUUCUAACGUUGGCCCCUGACCGGGGUUGCGGACAGUGUCUGGUGGGUAGUUUGACUGGGGCGGUCUCCUCCCAAAGCGUAACGGAGGAGCACGAAGGUUAGCUAAUCCUGGUCGGACAUCAGGAGGUUAGUGCAAUGGCAUAAGCUAGCUUGACUGCGAGCGUGACGGCGCGAGCAGGUGCGAAAGCAGGUCAUAGUGAUCCGGUGGUUCUGAAUGGAAGGGCCAUCGCUCAACGGAUAAAAGGUACUCCGGGGAUAACAGGCUGAUACCGCCCAAGAGUUCAUAUCGACGGCGGUGUUUGGCACCUCGAUGUCGGCUCAUCACAUCCUGGGGCUGAAGUAGGUCCCAAGGGUAUGGCUGUUCGCCAUUUAAAGUGGUACGCGAGCUGGGUUUAGAACGUCGUGAGACAGUUCGGUCCCUAUCUGCCGUGGGCGCUGGAGAAUUGAGGGGGGCUGCUCCUAGUACGAGAGGACCGGAGUGGACGCAUCACUGGUGUUCGGGUUGUCAUGCCAAUGGCACUGCCCGGUAGCUAAAUGCGGAAGAGAUAAGUGCUGAAAGCAUCUAAGCACGAAACUUGCCCCGAGAUGAGUUCUCCCUGAGACUUUAAGUCUCCUGAAGGAACGUUGAAGACGACGACGUUGAUAGGCCGGGUGUGUAAGCGCAGCGAUGCGUUGAGCUAACCGGUACUAAUGAACCGUGAGGCUUAACCUU
rnacentral:rRNA from 1 species